rnacentral:rRNA from 1 species
AUUGAACGCUGGCGGCAGGCUUAACACAUGCAAGUCGAGCGGGGUGAUGGUGCUUGCACUAUCACUUAGCGGCGGACGGGUGAGUAAUGCUUAGGAAUCUGCCUAUUAGUGGGGGACAACAUCUCGAAAGGGAUGCUAAUACCGCAUACGUCCUACGGGAGAAAGCAGGGGAUCACUUGUGACCUUGUGCUAAUAGAUGAGCCUAAGUCGGAUUAGCUAGUUGGUGGGGUAAAGGCCUACCAAGGCGACGAUCUGUAGCGGGUCCGAGAGGAUGAUCCGCCACACUGGGACUGGGACGCGGCCCAGACUCCUACGGGAGGCAGCAGUGGGGAAUAUUGGACAAUGGGGGGAACCCUGAUCCAGCCAUGCCGCGUGUGUGAAGAAGGCCUUAUGGUUGCAAAGCACUUUAAGCGAGGAGGAGGCUUACCUAGUUAAUACCUGGGAUAAGUGGACGUUACUCGCAGAAUAAGCACCGGCUAACUCUGUGCCAGCCGCCGCCGUAAGAC